GUUUACAGCCAUACUGCCCUGAACGCGCCUGGUCUCGUCUGAUCUCAGAAGCUAAGCAGGGUCGGAUCUGGUUGGUUCUUGGAUGCAAAACUAUAAAUU
rnacentral:rRNA from 1 species